rnacentral:rRNA from 1 species
GACGAACGUUGGCGGCGUGCUUAAUACAUGCAAGUCCACUGAAGCAGUGGUAGCAAUAUCGCUGUGGAGGUGGCGCGCGGGUGAGUAACACGUAGGUAAUCUGCCUUCAGGUCUGGCAUAACUCCGGGAAACCGGGGCUAAUAGCAGAUGAUGCAGCGGCUCGACAUCGAGACAGUUGUUAAAGCUAUGGCGCCUGAAGAUGAGCCUGCGUCUGAUUAGCUAGUUGGCGGGGUAACGGCCCACCAAAGCAACGAUCAGUAGCUGGUCUGAGAGGAGGAUCAGCCAUGCUGGAACUGAGACACGGUCCAGACCUGUACGGGAGGCAGCAGUAAGGAAUAUUGCUCAAGGGGAGAAAUCCGGAAGCAGCAACGCCGCGUGAGGGACGAAGGGCUUUUGCUUGUAAACCUCUGUAGUGAGAGAAAAAAAUCCCAAUCUUUGGGACAUGAUGGUAUCUCAAAAGUAAGCCCCGGCUAACUACGUG